rnacentral:rRNA from 1 species
UACGGGGGGGGCAAGCGUUGUUCGGAAUUACUGGGCGUAAAGGGCUCGUAGGUGGCCAACUAAGUCAGACGUGAAAUCCCUCAGCUUAACUGGGGAACUGCGUCUGAUACUGGAUGGCUUGAGUUUGGGAGAGGGACGCGGAAUUCCAGGUGUAGCGGUGAAAUGCGCAGAUAUCAGGAGGAACACCGAUGGCGAAGGCAGGUCUCUGGGCAUUAACUGACGUGAGGAGCGAAAAGCAUGGGGGAGCGAACAGG